UCAGUGUUGUGCAUUUACAUUCAAGCAGGAAAUCUGACAUCACUCUUUAGUCACACUGAUGUACCAGGCUGUGAUUCAUGUCUCUUUAGAGACACUUUCCUACCAUAGAAUACGGAACUGUGGCCCUUGAGGGAGAAUAACAGCAUGAAAUCUGUGGGUAUGUGCUCCUGAUGAAAUCAGCAUUUUCUUCAAACCUUCCUCUGAAGGCCAGAAUUUCCGGGACAUCACGUGAAUGUUCAGCAUUUAUUUUCAUAGUUACUUAGGCAACAAAAAGAUUUCAAGAUAAGAAUUGCAGCUCCGUCAUUUCUGACUCGCCCACCUGGAGGACAUCCCUGCUCUCCUCAGUUUCACCUUCUUAUGAUUCUCCCAUCCGUCCCACCAAGGAAGAGCAUGGAGCUUUCAUCUCAGAAAAAUUGCACUGUGACUAAAAGGGAAGAGCCAGGGGAAAGCCUACACUGUGAGAGGUCCUGGUGGGGCUCCUAGUGGAGCGGAAUGCCAUGCUGCACCAGUCUGUCAUAUGGGUCACACUGUAUGACCCUUCCAGAUCAUUCUCAGUGAUACUUCUUAUCUCCUUCUAUCUCUGUGACACUGGACCAUUCAUCCGAGCUACUUCCCACACAACAACCAGGAGAACACGGAACCAGGAAACAAGAAUGGAAACCACAUUUGUCUUGCAAACCCUGUUUGACAAUUUCUCCACCAAACUUUGUUUGUGGUUAUAAGGACUUCAUUUAUAGAAAGAUGGCCUGUGAUGGAUAUGAAGCCAUGUUAACAUCAGUGAAAUGCCUGAAAACAGUCCUCAGAGAACUUCACACAAAUACAGAGCCAGGCUCCAGCUGAGACAAAAGCCAGAUAAGUUAUCCAGGAAUCAAACAAUCAUUUGCACAUUUUUUCUUGCCAACAUCAUGAGGUUUUCAAGGACAACACUCCACCCUAGUACUCCUGCUCUAAUUAACUCACAGUGUAAUCAAUGGGAUGAGUAGCUGUGAAGCUCUGAAGAGAUUUUGUCUGUGUGUAAAACAUUAGACUGUAAGUUUUUGUUGUUGAAUAUACAUCUAUUCACGUAAGCUAACAGGUGUUUGCUCCACUUUCUGCAAUUUAAAUGUUUAACCUUCAAUUCUAUUAAAAUCUAUUGAUGAGAAGAGGAGGUUCUUUUAACAGAGUGCUAAUAAAGCAUUCAUGAAGCCUUCUCAAGCAUACUCUGCCAAUUAUUUCUCCAUGAGGUUCUUGCAAAAAAAAAAAUCUGCCUUAGCUUGUGACAAGUUCUGCAUCCCAGAAGUGCCUGAGCUUAAGAAACUCUGCACUUUUUCUACAUUUAGACAAAAGUGCUUCUCUUAGCCAAAACUCCACAAAUUCAUUAAUGAAGAAAUACAUCACAAUGUGUUCUUUUUAGAGGGUGAAAUCCGAAGAAUAUUACAGCUAUCAGUUUGUCUAAUCAUUAUCAUUUUUUUAAAAGAUCAAAUUAAAUUCCUGGAAGUGAGAGAUUCCUCCUUCAGAAAUGCUUUAAUUAAUAAUAAAAAUAACCAUGAAUGCUACUGGGAAUCAAUUAAUUGUUUACACUUACUAAUAAGUCAAGACAUCCAAUGCUUCUACAAAAAUAGAAUAAUUGGCCCAAUCUUAUGUUAAUAGAUUUUCAACCUUCACAAACAUCAAAGUCAUAACUUAAGCAGUAAAUGCCAUAACAAGAUUGGUUGUUAGCCUCUUGGACAAUAAAGAGGUGGAUUAACUCCUUGAACAGAGUUCUUUAUUUUGCCUGUAUCUUGGUUAAAGUGUUGGAUUGUCACUGAUUCUCUUUUUGAUUUUUUUUUAGACUGAAAUGUCCUUGCCAUUAGGAGUUACAGCAAUACUAUGCACUGCAUGGCCUUUGUGACUUGUUAUUUAUGCACCCAUAAAUAAAGUUCUUUACUAAUUGGUUAAAUAGUCACAGUAUGUUUCUUUCUUUCUAGGGUUCUUGUUAUGUUGUCAAAAGAGUUUUGUUUUCCUCUGUGUUGAUGUAAUGGGGUUUUUUUUCAGUUAUUUUGGAAUAGCAUUGGUAAAGGAUUGUCCUGAUGCAGCAGAAAAUCCAGACACAUUUACCUUUGCAAUAGGCCUCUGUACAUAUUUGCCAGAUUUCAAGUUAUGCCUCAUUGUUCCACCUAGCCAUAUUUCAAAUGUAGUCUAUUUUCAGUUUUGAGUUGCAGGGGUUUUAGCUGCUCUGCUACUUGCUAUGGCAUGUUUUCUGUCUGGGGACUCUUCACGUGAAGCCACAUGCCAUGUCAAAGAAGCAAUAACCAACCUCUGUUCAGAUUCACUCUAGCACUAAAAAGAAAAGUACAUCAUGUUUCCCACAGAGACUUUCAUUCUGGAUUUAUUUUGAGUUUCAUGUUUAAAACAAAAUUAUGAGGUCUUGAAAGCAGAAACUACUAUG